GACGAACGCUGGCGGCGUGCUUAACACAUGCAAGUCGAACGGAAAGGCCCUGCUUUUGUGGGGUGCUCGAGUGGCGAACGGGUGAGUAACACGUGAGUAACCUGCCCUUGACUUUGGGAUAACUUCAGGAAACUGGGGCUAAUACCGGAUAGGAGCUCUUGCUGCAUGGUGGGGGUUGGAAAGUUUCGGCGGUUGGGGAUGGACUCGCGGCUUAUCAGCUUGUUGGUGGGGUAGUGGCUUACCAAGGCUUUGACGGGUAGCCGGCCUGAGAGGGUGACCGGCCACAUUGGGACUGAGAUACGGCCCAGACUCCUACGGGAGGCAGCAGUGGGGAAUAUUGCACAAUGGGCGGAAGCCUGAUACAGCAACGCCGCGUGCGGGAUGACGGCCUUCGGGUUGUAAACCGCUUUCGCCUGUGACGAAGCGUGAGUGACGGUAAUGGGUAAAGAAGCACCGGCUAACUACGUG
rnacentral:rRNA from 1 species